rnacentral:misc_RNA from 1 species
AGAGGGGCAAAGCAAUGGUGAACUAUCCGAAGAAGAAGGUGAUGCACUGCGGCGACGCGCGCUGCAACGCACACAAGUCGUUCAAGGUGGUGCAGUAUAAGGCCGGCAAGGCCCGCCUUUUUGCUCGCGGUAAGCGUCGUUACGACCGCAAGCAGUCUGGUUAUGGUGGUCAGACCAAGCCGGUCUUCCACAAGAAGGCCAAGACGACCAAGAAGAUUGUGUUGAAACUCCAGUGCUCUGGUUGCAAGUCUAUCCGCCAGGUUGUCCUCAAGCGCACGAAGCACUUUGAGCUGAACGACAAGAAGAAGACCGGCAACAAGGACCCCACCUGGUAAGCCACUCGCGCUCCCCGUGCUCACCGCACGCACAGCAAAGCCCACCCCACCCCCACGCAUCAUGUCGUCGUUUUUCUUUUAGUUUCUGGUUGCAACAUACCUUUUGAUUUUUUACUUCACGUGAUACAAGCAGAAAAAGAACGGUGCAGCAGCGGAGCUUUUCAGAGGUGGGCCUUCGCCGCCUCUCUCGUCCUCCAACAUCUCUCAGAGCGCCCUCUAUGGGUUCUCGAGGCCUGCAGGAGUCGUGCUGUGUGUGCAUGCCUGCAGCCACCGCUCCUCGUCCCUAUCGCUACAGAUUCCCGUAUGCAAUAACCACGACGCUGCUGGCAUCUCUGUACUUCUGUCUGCGAGCGUACGUGUGCACCUG